rnacentral:rRNA from 1 species
GAAAGCGUGGGGAGCAAAUAGGAUUAGAUACCCUAGUAGUCCACGCCGUAAACGAUGAGGACCAAGUGUUGGGGGUGAAACCUCAGUGCUGAAGUUAACGCAGUGAGUCCUCCGCCUGGGGAGUAUGCACGCAAGUGUGAAACUCAAAGGAAUUGACGGGGGCCCGCACAAGCGGUGGAGUAUGUGGUUUAAUUUGAAGCAACGCGAAGAACCUUACCAGGCCUUGACAUGGGAUGCGAAGACGCAGAGAUGCGUUGGAGGCAAACAUCCACACAGGUGGUGCAUGGUUGUCGUCAGCUCGUGUCGUGAGAUGUUGGGUCAAGUCCCGCAACGAGCGCAACCCUUGUGGCAUGUUGCUAACAGGAAAGAUGAGGACUCAUGCCAGACUGCCGGUGACAAACCGGAGGAAGGCGGGGAUGACGUCAAAUCAUCAUGCCCCUUAUGGCCUGGGCUACACACGUACUACAAUGGCGGCUACAAAGAGCGGCGAGACAGUAAUGUCGAGCGAAUCUCAUAAAAGCCGUCCCAGUUCGGAUUGGAGCCUGCAACCCGGCUCCAUGAAGUUGGAAUCGCUAGUAAUCGCGGAUCAGCAUGCCGCGGUGAAUACGUUCCCGGGCCUUGCACACACCGCCCGUCAA